rnacentral:rRNA from 1 species
UACGAAGGGGGCUAGCGUUGCUCGGAAUCACUGGGCGUAAAGCGCACGUAGGCGGAUCUUUAAGUCAGGGGUGAAAUCCUGGAGCUCAACUCCAGAACUGCCUUUGAUACUGGGGAUCUCGAGUCCGGGAGAGGUGAGUGGAACUGCGAGUGUAGAGGUGAAAUUCGUAGAUAUUAGCUAGAACACCAGUGGCGAAGGCGGCCAACUGGUCCGGUACUGACGCUGAGGUGCGAAAGCGUGGGGAGCGAACAGG